UACAGCCAUAUCACGUUGACACAUCGGUUCUCGUAUGAUCACCGAAGUUAAGAAACGCUGAGCCUGGUCAGUAUCUAGAUGAGUGACCGUUUGGGAAUACCGGGUGCU